AAGCCUGGAAAGAGAAGCAGGGUCUGAACCGUAGCCUCCAUGGCAGCUGUUGAUCAGCACUUGCCUCUCUCUUUCUCUCCG
rfam:Myotis brandtii contig265577, whole genome shotgun sequence.